rnacentral:rRNA from 1 species
CAAAUGAUUCCAACAGUAGGUCCGUGAACGGCUCAUUAAAUCAGCGAUUAUCUACCCAGUUCUGCGGGGCUUGCCCCGUCACACGGAUACCGAUACUAACUGUAUCGCUAAUACGUGUAUGAGAACUGCUCUCUCGUCCAACACACUGCCCACGUUUCUGGAUGCGUAGAUUGACUGUGCUCUUUCGGUCGUUGCAUGUUUUCUUCUCGAAGAGGAUGUGCGGCUUGUACUGGAACUGUGCGGGAGAUUUCGUUAUUCGAAGCGAUACCAAAUGGGUGGUGUGGAGGGAGCAGGCAGUUGACCGGCACCAAAACUAACGCCACCAGUUCCAACCAAGCUUCGGCAAGGAGUACUGGUUACAAUGGCAGCGAAACGUGCUUUUACGCACCUCUCGAUGAACCAGGUCAACCACGUUAAAGCGCAUCAGGCCCUGUGCCUGGCGCGGAACUGGACGAAUUUCUGCCUUAUCAGCUAUGAUGACUGUGCAGUGAACAGUCAUGGUAUUAACGAGUACGGGGAAUUAGGGUUCGACUCCGGAGAGGGCGCCUGAGAAACGGCGACCAGAUCUAAGGAUUGCAGCAGGCACGCAAAUUGCCCAAUGGCAGCACGUUGUUGAGGCAGUGACGAGAAAUAACAACACCGGCAGAUUACAUAUCGGCCGGUGAUUGUAAUGGACGGUACCCAAAGCCACUGAUGAGUACCCACUGGAGGGCAAGUCUGGUGCCAGCAGCCGCGGUAAUUCCAGCUCCAGUAGCAUACACUAAUUUUGUUGCGGUUAAAAAGCUCGUAGUGGAUUCGGAGCUGUGAUGCAGUUUUGGUCGGCGCUAGCUCGCAGGAGCUGUGUCGCACAACCUCCUGCACUCGAUCCUGGCUCUAUCACACGGGAUUGGUUGCCCCGUCCGCUGUGGGCUUCGGUCUGCAGUUGACAUUUCCGGGCCGUCCGUGGUUGUUACCGUGAACAAAACAGCGUGUUCAAAACAGGCGGGGCUUGCCUCUUGCCUGAAUGAUCUAGCAUGGGAUGACAGGGGAGUGACCUCUUGGCUGCUCUUCUCAGUUUGUUGGUUUUGACAGCCGAACAGGGUAACGUAAGACAGGCGUGCCGUGCGGUUGGUCCUUUUUCUCUGUCUUGUAUUUGCAUGUCCUACCUUUGCGGUCUCUUUCAUUUCGAGGGCUUGUGUUGUGACUCUUACCAGUUGUGACGCCGGUCUUUUGAUUUGGAGGGGGUUUUGUGAGGGUGGUGGUGUGUGGGUGCAGUGUGGGGAGAUAGUUUCCAGCCGCGCGGCCCCUGUCUCCAUCCAGGAUAAAUCGGGGCACACGGUGAGAUACGUAUUGUGGCGCUAGUGGUGAAAUACUUAGACCGUCACAAGACGAACAUCUGCGAAAGCAUUUCUCAAGCAUGCCUUCUUCAAUCAAGAGCGAUAGCAUGGGGAUCUAAGAUGAUCAGAUACCGUUGUAGUCCAUGCUGUAAACGCUGCCAGCGAGGCUUCGGACGUCAGAUCUGGCAUCCCGACUCGUCCGGCGCCGUCCCCCAUAACGAGAAAUCCAAGCCUGGGUUCCGGGGGGAGUACGUCCGCAAGGCCGAAACUUAAAGGAAUUGACGGAAUGGCACCACAAGGCGUGGAGUGUGCGGCUUAAUUUGACUCAACACGGGAAACCUCGCCAGGUCCGGACUCACUGAGGAUUGACAGAUUGAGAGCUCUUUCUUGAUCGUGAGGGUGGUGGUGCAUGGCCGUGCUGGGUUGGUGGAGUGAUUUGUCUGCUUAAUUGCGAUAACGAACGAGAUCACAACCUCUCACUCGGGCUCUGCUUCGCAUUUAGGUAGGGGUGGUUCUGUGCCUGCUCCUUGUGGGUGGGUGCUGAACCGAUUUUACGCCCCGAGAGGCAGGGACUUCAAGCCUUAGAGGGACUGGCGGUGCCCCCUCAACCCCCGGAAGAAUGUGCCUUUCACAGGUCUGUGAUGCUCCGCAAUGUUCUGGACUGCACGCGCACUACACUGGCAUAGUCAACGAGCGACCGACCGCAUUCUUGCGGUUCCUAAUUGGAAGCGAUUUGGAAAUCUUUGUAAACUGUGUCGUGACCGGGGAUAGGUGAUUGCAAUUAUUCGUCCUGAACGAGGAAUGCCCAGUAAGGGCGAGUCAUCAGCUCGCCCUGAUUGCGUCCCUGGCAUUUGUACACACCGCCCGUCGUUGUCGUCGAUUGGCUGUAGCAUAGAGGCGUUGAGAGGCUACGGUUGGGAGUUCGCUCCCUUCUGUCCCGCAAGGGGUUGGCCAAACUUCUCCAAUAUGCCACAGCUAGAGACGAUAAAAGUCGUAACAAGGUAGCUGUAGGUG